rnacentral:rRNA from 1 species
AGAGUUUGAUCCUGGCUCAGAUUGAACGCUGGCGGCAUGCCUUACACAUGCAAGUCGAACGGUAACAGGUUAAGCUGACGAGUGGCGAACGGGUGAGUAAUGUAUCGGAACGUGCCUAGUCGUGGGGGAUAACGUAGCGAAAGCUACGCUAAUACCGCAUACGAUCCAUGGAUGAAAGCGGGGGACCUUCGGGCCUCGCGCGAUUAGAGCGGCCGAUAUCAGAUUAGGUAGUUGGUGGGGUAAAGGCCCACCAAGCCGACGAUCUGUAGCUGGUCUGAGAGGACGACCAGCCACACUGGGACUGAGACACGGCCCAGACUCCUACGGGAGGCAGCAGUGGGGAAUUUUGGACAAUGGGCGAAAGCCUGAUCCAGCAAUGCCGCGUGCAGGAUGAAGGCCUUCGGGUUGUAAACUGCUUUUGUACGGAGCGAAAAGGCUCUCUCUAAUAAAGGGGGCUCAUGACGGUACCGUAAGAAUAAGCACCGGCUAACUACGUGCCAGCAGCCGCGGUAAU